rnacentral:rRNA from 1 species
GGGGAGCAGCAGGCGCGAAAACUUUACAAUGCGGGAAACCGUGAUAAGGGAACUCUGAGUGCCCGUUAAAUCGGGCUGUCCAUCUGCUUAAAACGCAGGUGAAGAAAGGGCCGGGCAAGACCGGUGCCAGCCGCCGCGGUAAUACCGGCGGCUCGAGUGGUGGCCACUAUUACUGGGCUUAAAGCGUUCGUAGCUGGUUUGUUAAGUCUCUGGGGAAAUCUUCCGGCUUAACCGGAAGGCGUCUCAGGGAUACUGGCAGACUAGGGACCGGAAGAGGUGAGGGGUACUCCAGGGGUAGGAGUGAAAUCCUGUAAUCCUUGGGGGGACCACCUGUGGCGAAGGCGCCUCACCAGGACGGCUCCGACAGUGAGGGACGAAAGCUGGGGGAGCAAACCGGAUUAGAUACCCGGGUAGUCCCAGCCGUAAACGAUGUGCGUUAGGUGUAUCGGUGACCACGAGUCACCGAGGUGCCGAAGAGAAAUCGUGAAACGUACCGCCUGGGAAGUACGGUCGCAAGGCUGAAACUCAAAGGAAUUGGCGGGGGAGGAC